rnacentral:rRNA from 1 species
GACGAACGCUGGCGGCGUGCUUAACACAUGCAAGUCGAACGAAGUGGCGAACGGGUGAGUAACGCGUAAUCAACCUGCCCUUCCGAGGGGGACAACAGUUGGAAACGACUGCUAAUACCGCAUACUGAAGGAGGGGAUUGCGUGUGAUUAGCUAGUUGGGGGGGUAACGGCCCACCGAGGCGAAGAGCAGUAGGCUGUCUGGGAGGAUGAACCGGCAAAAUGGGACUGGGACAAGGGCCAGGACCCUACGGGAGGGAGCAGUGGGGAAUCUUCCGCCAUGGACGAAAGUCUGACUGAGCAACGCCGCGGGGGUGAUGACGGGCUUCGGGUUGUAAAGCUCUGUUAAUCGGGACGCGGUACCGGAAUAGAAAGCAACGGCUAACUACGUGCCAGCAGCCGCGGUAAUAC